GUAGGUGGGCAAGCGUUGUCCGGAAUUAUUGGGCGUAAAAGCGCGCGCAGGCGGUCCUUUAAGUCUGAUGUGAAAGCCCACGGCUCAACCGUGGAGGGUCAUUGGAAACUGGGGGACUUGAGUACAGAAGAGGAAAGCGGAAUUCCAAGUGUAGCGGUGAAAUGCGUAGAGGUUUGGAGGAACACCAGUGGCGAAGGCGGCUUUCUGGUCUGUAACUGACGCUGAGGCGCGAAAGCGUGGGGAGCAAACAGGAUUAGAUACCCUGGUAGUCCACGCCGUAAACGAUGAGUGCUAAGUGUUAGGGGGUUUCCGCCCCUUAGUGCUGCAGCUAACGCAUUAAGCACUCCGCCUGGGGAGUACGGCCGCAAGGCUG
rnacentral:rRNA from 1 species